GACGAACGCUGGCGGCGUGCUUAACACAUGCAAGUCGAACGGAAAGGCCCUGCUUGCAGGGUACUCGAGUGGCGAACGGGUGAGUAACACGAGGGUGAUCUGCCCUGCAUUUCGGGAUAAGCUUGGGAAACUGGGUCUAAUACCGGAUAGGAGCCAUCUUUAGUGUGGUGGCUGGAAAGUUUUUUCGGUGUAGGAUGAGCUCGCGGCCUAUCAGCUUGUUGGUGGGGUAAUGGCCUACCAAGGCGGCGACGGGUAGCCGGCCUGAGAGGGUGUACGGCCACAUUGGGACUGAGAUACGGCCCAGACUCCUACGGGAGGCAGCAGUGGGGAAUAUUGCACAAUGGGCGCAAGCCUGAUGCAGCGACGCCGCGUGGGGGAUGAAGGCCUUCGGGUUGUAAACUCCUUUCGCUAGGGACGAAGCUUUUUGUGACGGUACCUAGAUAAGAAGCACCGGCUAACUACGUG
rnacentral:rRNA from 1 species